rnacentral:rRNA from 1 species
CCUUUUGAAGGGGAACCCCGGGAACUGGGGCUAAUCCCAGAUAGAUGAGAACUCCUGGAACGGAUUCUCGUCCAAAAGGCGUCUAGGUCAUGCUUCUAGGCGUCGCUCAAGGAUGGGGCCGCGGCCGAUCAGGCUGUUGGUGAGGCAACGGCUCACCAAACCUUUAACCGGUACGGGCCGUGGGAGCGGGUGCCCGGAGAUGGGAACUGAGACAAGGUCCCAGGCCCUACGGGGCGCAGCCGUUGCGAAACCUCGUCAAUGCACGAAAGUGUGAACGGGCUACCCCGAGUGCCGUCCGCUGAGGAUGGCUUUUCUCUGCUGUAAGGAGGCGGAGGAAUAAGGAGAGGGCAAGUCUGGUGUCAGCCGCCGCGGUAAUACCAGCUCUCCGAGUGGUGGGGAUGUUUAUUGGGCUUAAAGCGUCCGUAGCCUGCCCUUCAAGUCUUUCGUUAAAUCCAGCGAUUCAAUCGUUGGACUGCGGGAGAUACUGUUGGGCUAGGGGGCGGGAGAAGCCGACGGUAUUUCCGGGGUAGGGGUAAAAUCCUAUAAUCCCGGGAGGACCACCAGUGGCGUAGGCGGUCGGCUAGCACGUGCUCGACGGUGAGGGACGAAAGCUGGGGGAGCAAACCGGAUUAGAUACCCGGAUAGUCCCAGCUGUAAACGAUGCGGGCUAGGUGUUGGAGUGGCCACGAGCCACUUCAGUGCCGCAGGGAAGCCAUUAAGCCCGCCGCCUGGGAGUACGGCCGCAAGGCUGAAACUUAAAGGAAUUGGCGGGGGAGCAC